AAAUGAAUAGACGGGGGCCCGCACAAGCGGUGGAGUAUGUGGUUUAAUUCGACGCAACGCGAAGAACCUUACCAAGGUUUGACAUCCCUUUGACCGGUUUAGAGAUAAGCCUUUCCUUCGGGACAAAGGAGACAGGUGGUGCAUGGUUGUCGUCAGCUCGUGUCGUGAGAUGUUGGGUUAAGUCCCGCAACGAGCGCAACCCUUAUGCUUAGUAGCCAGCGGUUAAAGCCGGGCACACUAGGGAGACUGCCGUGGAUAACACGGAGGAAGGUGGGGAUGACGUCAAAUCAUCAUGCCCCUUAUAUCUUGGGCUACACACGUACUACAAUGGCUCAUACAAAGUGACGCAAAGCAGCGAUGCGGAGCAAAACACGAAAAAGGGCCUCAGUUCGGAUUGCAGGCUGCAACCCGCCUGCAUGAAGUCGGAAUCGCUAGUAAUCGCGAAUCAGCAUGUCGCGGUGAAUACGUUCCCGGGCCUUGUACACACCGCCCGU
rnacentral:rRNA from 1 species